rnacentral:rRNA from 1 species
UACAGAGGGGGCGAGCGUUGUUCGGAAUUACUGGGCGUAAAGGGCGCGUAGGCGGCCCGCUAAGUCGAACGUGAAAUCCCCAGGCUCAACCUCGGAACUGCCUUCGAUACUGGAAGUCUUGAGUCCGGGAGAGGUGAGUGGAACUCCGAGUGUAGAGGUGAAAUUCGUAGAUAUUCGGAAGAACACCAGUGGCGAAGGCGGCUCACUGGCCCGGUACUGACGCUGAGAUACGAAAGCGUGGGGAGCAAACAGG